GGGGCAGCGGCASACGGGUGAGUAACGCGUGGGAAUCUACCYAKCUCUACGGAAYARCUCCGGGAAACUGGARYUAAUACCGUAUACGUCCUUCGGGAGAAAGAUUUAUCGGAGWURGAUGAGCCCGCGUUGGAUUAGCUAGUUGGUGGGGUAAUGGCCUACCAAGGCGACGAUCCAUAGCUGGUCUGAGAGGAUGAUCAGCCACACUGGGACUGAGACACGGCCCAGACUCCUACGGGAGGCAGCAGUGGGGAAUAUUGGACAAUGGGCGAAAGCCUGAUCCAGCCAUGCCGCGUGAGUGAUGAAGGCCCUAGGGUUGUAAAGCUCUUUCAACGGUGAAGAUAAUGACGGUAACCGUAGAAGAAGCCCCGGCUAACUUCGUGCCAGCAGCCGCGGUAAUACGAAGGGGGCUAGCGUUGUUCGGAAUUACUGGGCGUAAAGCGCACGUAGGCGGAUACUUAAGUCAGGGGUGAAAUCCCGGGGCUCAACCCCGGAACUGCCUUUGAUACUGGGUUAUCUCGAGUCC
rnacentral:rRNA from 1 species